CCUACGGGUGGCAGCAGUCGAGAAUCAUUCACAAUGGGGGAAACCCUGAUGGUGCGACGCCGCGUGGGGGAAUGAAGGUCUUCGGAUUGUAAACCCCUGUCAUGUGGGAGCAAAUUAAAAAGAUCGUACCACAAGAGGCAGAGACGGCUAACUCUGUGCCAGCAGCCGCGGUAAUACAGAGGUCUCAAGCGUUGUUCGGAAUCACUGGGCGUAAGGCGUGCGUAGGCUGUUUCGUAAGUCGUGUGUGAAAGGCGCGGGCUCAACCCGCGGACGGCACAUGAUACUGCGAGACUAGAGUAAUGGAGGGGGAACCGGAAUUCUCGGUGUAGCAGUGAAAUGCGUAGAUAUCGAGAGGAACACUCGUGGCGAAGGCGGGUUCCUGGACAUUAACUGACGCUGAGGCACGAAGGCCAGGGGAGCGAAAGGGAUUAGAUACCCCUGUAGUC
rnacentral:rRNA from 1 species